GCCCAGUCCCUCAACCCAGCCUUGUUUUCCUCCUUUAAAAAUGAGGAUGACUUCUAAAAACUGGGAAGCAAACAGCCUCCUAGGGAUGUUGGAAAAGAUCAAUGGUUUCUUGCAAGGCAAAGAACAGGGAUGACUUGGCAUUUUACCUGCUGGACCUCGUUCGGGGAGGCCCUGAAAGUGUGACCUGCUCGCUCCCAGGUGGCUGCAAAGGCCUUGGCACCCUCUCUCCGUGGCUGGGGGACGCUCUGGGCCAAGGACGUUUCCUGCCUCUGCGAACUGCGCCGCCGCAGCGAUACUCCUGCCCGCCGGGGGCUGCGCUGAUCUCUGCGGGAUGGAGACUCGGGAUGGGAAGGCCGGGCCAGUGUGCCGGGUACCGUUCACCUUCUGAAUCCCUGGCUUCUGUGUCCAUGAUUCAACCAACU
rnacentral:lncRNA from 1 species